ensembl:lncRNA
GCAGAUGUUAUCGUUGCGAUUUGUAGGUAAGGAAAUCCAGACGCAGCGGGAUUAAAUGACUUGCCAACUCCCGCCACCAGAGCAACGGUGCCAGGGGCAGACGCCGGAUCGCAUGCCGGCUGCUUCGGCCCCUGAAUCACGACCUCCUCUGAGACAUUCAGCAGCCCUAGAAAACUAGUUAAGGUCUUCAUCCCGGAUACAUUCUAUACAAGGAGCAGCCAACGUCUUGAGUUGGGGGACUGCACUUGAACGUGGCCGUCCUUGUAACGAGCUUUUCGGGUGGCGAGUAGUUCAAAACAUCCUUUGUAAGUUUCCUUUUUCCUGAAGGAAUUUUGUGAGGGUCAAAGGAUGCAGCAGGUUGGCUACGAAAAAAUUCACUUGCAAACUGGGUGUGCCCAGAAUCCUGGUGUUCAGGAGACCAAGGCAGAAGGAUCAGGAGUUCAAGGGCAGCCUGGGAAGAUCUGUCUCAAACAAAACGAAACAGGCGUAAACCCCGCCCAAGCCGUAUAAAAUGAUUUUACAUCUAAUGAAACUGUGUAUCAGUGUAGGUCCAGGCCCACUGGCAUGACCCGCUCAGCCAUGAAGGUUUUAUCUUUAUUAAUAUAUUCUGGAGAGUUCCUAUGUGUGUGUUCGUUAAAACAUCGACAACGCAAAGUGUAUUUUCAAAUUUAUUCCUUUUGUUUUCUAAUGCUUAGUACCUAAUGAACUGUUAUAAUUUUUGUAAGAAUCAAGAAACUUAGCUACCAGACAUGAUGCUCCACACCUUUAGUCCCAGCCCCUGGGAGGCAGAGGCAGGAGGAUGUCUGAGUUGGAGACAAACCUGGUCUACAAAGGAAAUUCAAGGACAGCCAGGGCUACACGGAGAAACCCUGUCUCGUAAAACAAAACGCAAACAAACUUAGCUGUUGGAUGGUCCCAGUUGCUGUAAUUUAUAUGUUUAGGGAGAUAAUAAAUCUGGCUUCUAUUACGUUUCACCACCUUUAUUAUUGAUGUGAAAAUUCUUAAAGACAGACACUAAGUCAUUUUUGAUAGCUGCUUGCACUGAAGACUUUGAAGCGUCUGAGAGUGGCUAAGCAGCUCAGAUGAGUAAUCUGGACACACGUGAGAAGUACAUAUGUGGAGCCUGACUCUAAAGAAUGUCAGUAGAAAGGCAGAAGAACGCCUCAGAGAGAUGCUUUAUAGCCAGUCAGUGCUGCAGAGGCACUGCCACAUAUCUCGUAGAAGCCAAAUAGAACAAUACCAUAUGCAUUAGCUUCUAUGUUCUAGAAAGUUCUAUGUGUGUGUCCGUUAUCAAAACUGGGAUCCUCGGCAGUCCUUCCAAAUAGCUGUGAACCUGUGGGGUGUGGGCUGUGCUUAGAGGAAAUUUCAACACACUUGCUUCUUGGAUGGAUGGAUGCUGUGUUCAAAGCGAGAAUGGUGACACUCGGGGAGGUCAGAAGUCCGUGGCUCCCUACAGACGACAGGUGGUUAACAUAGGAUGGAGAAGCCAGUAGUAGCCGUGAAGAGUUCUUCUGAGAGGGCAGUGAAGAGCACCAGCUUCAUCACAAGGUACUGACUGGUCUGGGGGAGGAAUGAGCAGCACCACACACAGGCCCAUUGGCAAGGUUCACUCACUGUAAAGGUUUGCCCGGCAGUAAGGCAGAUGUGGAGACAGGCUGGGGAUGGGGUUAGCAUUAGGGUUAGGGUUAGGGUUAGGGCUUGGACCCCUUGGUAGUUAUUUAAGUCUAGGUACAGCUGGAGUCGGUAGGUUAUCCUUGAAAGUUCACGUAAGUAAUUGUUAGCCUGCGUUUUCCUCAACUAGCAGGAGAUAAAAGGAAAGAAACACCAUAAUCCUGAUAUCACCAU